CCUCAUACUUUAGGAAGGUCCGUAUUCAUGCUGUCUGCAAAAUCCUCUGAAAGUCUGGAGAGUUGGUGUUGAAGUCUGUUUCGCAAGAUAUGCUCAGCUUUCUCUCUUAGAGAGGAGGCCUGGGUCUCCAUGAGUAAAACGCUAACAGCACGUACACUUUUCCCCCUGAUAGAUGCUUCUGGCAGAAAGUUGUACAUCCCGCGUGAUACUUCUUAUUAAACAAAGCUAAAUUUUUGCUGUAAUGGUCUACUGGGGUGAUCAGUUAAUAUGUUUUGAAAUCCAUCUUCCUAAUUUUAUGCUCCCAACUUCUGUUUUCAUGCAUUUCCUUCUAAGCAUUCCAGAAUGCUUAAAUUCAUGCAAAAUGCAUCUCAUGUAGCCCAUAAUACUCCUGCUGUGAGACCAUUAAGGCAAAUCUUUUUUAGCGACUUAGUCAAUUCUGCAGCUAAUAAAUGUUAAUACCGUUGAUAAUUGCAAGGUGGAGAAAGGAACAAGUAUUUACCAUUGCUCAUAAAUCCUGUGUAUUUCCAGGUAGCAACCAGUAGCCAGCUAGCAUAUGUGAAACUUUGGCAAGUUAGCUGCUAACUGCAUGGGUAUGUGUGGAUUAUGCUCUUGUAGUGUUUGGGGUUUGUUUGUUUGUUUUCUGUUGAGCUGGUAUCUGGAUGGGUAGAGGCAGAUACUUGGAUUUCAGUUGUCAAAAUUCAGCUAUUGACGUUCUGCAGAUAAAGUGGGUUGAAUGGGUUGGAGAGAGGGGAGCAGUGGCAUUUUUUCUAGAGAAGGAACAGGGACUUGAGAUAGGAGAGAAUCCUUUGUUUCUCACUUUCCGGAAGUAUCUUCAAAGUGCAGAGAAAGCAGGUUGUGUUUACUGUGGAAUCUUCUUGGAGCUGAAGGAAAUAGUAGCAUCUUUUUUUCCCUACUCAAGACGAUGUGAGACAGUGAAAUAGCACUUAGCAAAGGGGAGCCAAAACUCUAGGAUAGAGUCCUCCUCACAGAUGAGUGAAUGCUGCAGCAGGGCUUUGUUGGUGAGUGCCGUAGUGGAUAUAUUGGGCAUCUGCUUGGUAGCUGCUGUGUGCUUUUAAAGAGCUAAGAAGUGAACGUGCUCAUACGCUGGCACUUGGCGGAAGGGACUGCUUAAGCACUGGAGGAAGCUUGCGUUAACCUCGGGACCUAACGAGGCGAACCUUGGAGAGCUCCUGAAGCAAACCCAGCGCUUGAUCGAGCUUUAAAGCCUCUAGAGUGAGGCUCAGCCCAUGCUGGGAAGGCUCAGUCUCUGCUAUGCAUCAGAUUAAAAAGAAGCUUCGCUCAUCAUCUUAGAGUCAGCUGAGCUUCCUGACCCUAACGGUGCAGAUGAGUAGCUGUGUGUGGAAAAUGAAAGGGAAAGGUGUCUCCAACCUGAACUGUGCAAGCAGGGAACACAGAUGCACAGGCCAUGAACAAAUGCUUCCCUUGCCCCUCUGCUCUGUGGCACAUGCGUGAACCACACUCCAUCCGUGACACCAGGUGUUAGGAGGAAGCCGUCACCAUGAGCACCAUAGUGCUGAGGGUGGUGCAUCUGUUUUUGCGAAGUGCUUCAGGACAUGCUUAACUUUGAGCCUACACUCUUGCUGCCGAUCCAGAAGUGCCUCUGCCUCAAAAGGUGUUUGCUACGUGGCUUUUUCUCAUUUUAAUAUGAUGAGCCAAAUGUUUCCUUUGAAUGAUCCUCAUGAAUAUCACAGCCUGAGUCCUGCCAAAAGCCAAAACUGUUGCGUAUUCUGAUUGUAGCUCAGUAUAGGUGCACACUCAGCAUCACGCACAGUAACAAAAAUGCUUCCUUCCUUCCCCAGAAAUUCUUCGUCUUUUAAGCUCACACAAAGUCCAUCCAGCUUCCUGGAGUUUAAUUUGUGGACGAGCAGACUGUCCACAUUUUAAUAUAUGAUAAUCUCAGCACCCUAUGAAAUAUUUACAUGGAAUGGUGCUUUAUGCAGUCCAACUGUUGGACUGACCUUUACAAUGAGCCCUCCAAGAGUGUUAUAUUGUCUACUCUUUUCCAGUUUAGAGAAGCGGCAAUUGCAUGACGUCUAUGAUUUUGAUAACAGAAGAGUAUAACAGCAUGCACUAAAUGUGUGCCAUUUUGUGGGCAUACAUUGCAGCAUGCUGUUACAGCAUGCAAAUAUAUGCCAGCUCCACCACGAAUGGUGUUGUCUCUUACAUCCUACUGGUAUCUUUUCAAAAUCCUGAAGUCAAAUGUCCUUGGAAAUUGUAAACUUGUGUGUGCUACAGCAGGCACAUGUAAGCAGAGCUUAAGAGUGUCUGCUUCCUGGCCAAAGGAAAGUGCACACAAAACCUGGCAGUCUCCUUGGGAGGUGGUAGCCCAAUUUCCACACACAGGCAAUCCUUUCCUCACUCAGUUAGCGUGGGUGGUGAACAUGCUAGUGUGUUCUGAGCAGGGGAUGGGGACAACCAAAUUCACUUCAUGGAGAAAACCAAGAAGUCCCUUCAGAUAGCAAAUAAGUUCUCAAGGAUACAGUCUGGCUUUUGGCUUUGAUUCAGUAGAAGUAAGACCACCAUACACUUCUGUUCCCCUUUUACGUCCUGUCCUGCAAGAUCUUCGACACGUGUCCACGGUUUUAAAAUCUAUACUAGAAGAUGAAGAGCAGAGAUGAACUCAGACUCAUCAAUAGGACUCAGCAGUGGGGACUGGUGUCCCCAGGGGCCAUAGGGUGGGAAGGAAUCUGGGAUAGGGAUGCUAAGGGAGAGAAGAGAAGUGGGAGUUUGGGGGCAGAAGCUGAGAAGAUGGGCUCUGGAUCAAGAGGAUAUGGGAGCUGGGAGACUAGGGAUGGAAGAGGUGAGGGAAAAAGUUGAAAGAUUUGAGCUCUGGGGCAAGAAAGAUGAGAGCCUGUUCCUGUGGGGUGGUGUAGCGUGUGGACAUAGGCUGCUGAAGGCCUCUGCAGGUCCUGGAGUAAUCCCAUGAGGAACGGGGGUAACCAAAGGUAACACACUCCCCAACUACCAUUUCUGAUCGGGGCUCAGUUUGGAGAGGCAGAUGUACAUGCAGAGUUUUCCCUUUUUACCACCUUUUCUCUCUAGUCCAGGAUUAGGGGUACCUUCCUCCUCUGUCUUCCUUUUCAUGUCAAAAACACUGUAACCUUAAGGAGGCACAGGAACUAGCCAGUCCUUCCUGAUCAAAACACAGCUGUGUUAUUGACUGUACUUCUUUGUCUCCUUCCCAGUAACAUCUGCA